rnacentral:tRNA from 1 species
GCUGCGGUAGCUCAGUGGUAGAGCACUCCCUUGGUAAGGGAGAGGGCGAGAGUUCAAUCCUCUCUCGCAGCACCA